CUUGGAAUUUAAAGAAACAAAAAAAGUUCUAUUAUUUACGGAGUUUAUAAUACUAGAAAUGGCAAAUAAAUAAUAAAGUAAAUCUAAAAAUUCCUAAUCCAAUGUAUUAUGAGUUAUAGUGAUAAUUAAGCUAUAUUAUCAAAGGCUUAAAGCCAAAGAAAUUAAAACCAAAUAUAGCUAUGUGUAAAUUGGCAAUGGGUGCACCGUAUAUUUUGUCAAAGCCAAGGAAACAAAUCUUUUGAUAAAGGAAUUGCAUUGGAAUGAUGUCUAGGCUUGUAUGAGGGAUGGGUAACAAGUUCAAUUAUUAAGUCACACAUGAUAAAGCUCCAACUCAAUGCUUAUUACACAUUAAAUCUUGAAUUUUAGUGAGUCAAAGUACAUCAUUUGAAUAUAUAGUUAGAGGUAUUAUGAGGUCCUUUUUUUCACAGGUAUAGUUGGAAGUAUUAGGCUGUUUGAGUUUGAGGUAAAUUUUAAGUUAGACUUUUGGUUUUUGUAUUGUUGUUAUUUUUCAGUGUUUUUGUGUUUUUUUCAAUUGUGUGUGAUUUUGUUUAUUUGGAUUAUUUAUUUCUUGAAUUUUUUGUUUAUGUGUACCGGUUAAUUAAUAAUGUAGUAUGAAAUGAUGUUUUUUGGUUUUAGGUUUGUUUGUUUUUUAUUGUCUAUGUAUUGAUUUGGUUUUAGUGUUUAAUUGAUAGUUUUAUUUAUGGAUCCUAUUAGCAGAGGAUGUUUUAUGUAUAUAUUGAUUGAAAAUUGCAUUUGUUAAGUUGUCGUUUUUGGCGAUGGAUUCAGUUAAUAAACGAAAAAAAAUAGAAUUAGAAGAUUAGAAAAGUUAUGGCAUGCAAGAUUGAGUAAUUCACACAAUUGUUGCAGCACAAUUAGGAAGAAGAUGACGACAAAUAGACCUAAGACUCGGCUUCUAAAGGCGACCAAGUCUUCAAACUCAGUCGAGGAGGAUAUCGAGAUCGAAAUGCCAAAGGUUUUGUAUGGAUUGAUGAAGCAAUCAUGAAGCUCCAAGAAGGAAGAUAGCGCUGGAAAUCCUUUGCCGAAGCUUAAAUCUGAAGAUGUAAAUGGUUUUUCUACUUAUAGAAAGGCCCUUGUUUCACCUCAGAUUGCAAGCUCUACACAGAGCCAAUCCCAAACAACAGUUUUGCCUGAUCUAUUGGUUCGCGUUGGUGGGUAUUUUGAGCAUUCUUUCUUUUUGGUAAUAAGGUUUGCUCCUUUUUUUUUUUUUAAUAUUGGCAUUUGCAACAUGAAAAAAAAAAGGAAGUUGAGGAUUCUCCAACUCCAGUGAAAGUUGAGAAUGUGGAACGGGCAAAAAUGAAAAUCUGUUCACCAAAACAAGGUCAAAUAUCAGGACUUAAAAGUUCAUUUCUGAUUUUAAUCUUGAUAAGAAUGCUUUUAAAACGGCACCAGUGUUAUGGGAGUCACGGAAGAACGUGGUGAUGAUUAAGCAUGGAGAUUCAUAAUCAUCCAUUGAAGAAGAACCAAAUUCCGUAGAUGGAGCUGUGACCAGGGAAAAGUCUGUUUCGACUGAAAAAGGAUCCGUUAAAUUGGAUGUUGAUUUUCAGGAUUCCACAGUGACCAAAGCAAUAUCAAUGGUGUCAAAAGUGGAGAUCCAACGUGAAGAGAAGUUCAAAAUCGAUUUGAUGACAAGAAUCUCUUUCUGUCGAAAAUUCCAAAUUUUUGAAGAAAAAGAGUAAUAAGUAAUGCCCCCAUUCCUUCCUAACUGGCUUCUCCUCCUAUGGCAUCAUCUCGAGAAAGGGAUAGCCCUGUGGAUGUCAAACCAGAUCCUAUAUACAAGGUUCUAGAUACAGAGUCAAAGAUAGAGACUUUGGCCAAGGAUGAAGCAAAGGUUGUGAAGAAAGAAAUGAGAGCAGAAGAUGGUAAAGACAAGAAGAUGGAUACAAUUAGGGAGAAGCGAGAUUCAUUGAACCUGGAUUUGGAGAAGCUGUAUCAAGAUAGUGGUAGUGAUUAUUGUAAAUUUGAACAACAUGCUAAAAAACAACAGCUAUCUAAAAGUUGGCAUUCCUAAAGUGGAGAAAAUCGGUAAUUUUUUUAUUUUGUUUCAGCUUUGACUAAAUGUGCAACUCAAUAAUUUUUAUUUGUUUCUUUAUAACACUGCUUGAAUUAUGAUUUGAUUGAGUUUACUGAUUG